rnacentral:tRNA from 1 species
GGACCCAUAGCUCAGCUGGUUAGAGCAGCGGACUCAUAAUCCGUUGGUCCGGGGUUCAAGUCCCUGUGGGUCCACAA